AGGAUAUAGGUUUUCUGGUUUAUUUUUGAAAGCAAAAAGCAUAUUUAAAGGUUAACUAAAAACGCACUGGAUUUACAAAAAAGAAAAAUGAUAUGUCUGAAUAGGAGUCAUUAUUUUAAGACUAAAAAAAGAGAAUCAAAUGAAGAAAUGCUGGAAAAUUGGAAUCACUUCCAAAUUGCUCUAUUUAAUUUUACCAUAAGCAUAAUAGUGGGUGAAGUUCAGCUAAAGAUAGGGGCAUGAAAAAAAUGUGAUUUGGUAUUGCUCUUUAGGGAGGCAAAUUAAUUACAAAUUAAGACCAUCUGGGUUAAAGAAUGAAUUGUCACCUUUUAAGAACCAGGAAUAAAGGUAAAUGUUCACUUUAAAACAAAGGGAGAAAGAACAUGAGAAAAAUCAAGAGUAAAUCCGUACAAUAUUACAUACACACAAAUUGGGGGAAAUAAACAUUGGCAUGGAAAUGCCACAAAAUAAAAUACCUAUGGAAUGUAAAAGUCAACUAUGGUCACUGAAUAUUGAACCCAAAGUUAUUGGGGAAGGUAGAAUUUCCUUGUAUUUCUUUCCCAGGGCACUGGGGAGGGAAGUUGGGGAUAAUCGGCUUCAGGAACUUGAACUCAUUGGUCCCUGAGCCUCCUGCCAGACACACCUCAUACUGGUAGCUCUGGGAUAGGGUCCUGGUGCCGCUCAUGUCCACAAGAUGCCCUGGAAGGGGGCCCUCGGGCACCAAGCAGCGACCCACCGAGGCCGCCCUGCUCCUCCUACACAGCCGCACCGCCACGAACAGGAGCACCGAAAAGAGGAAGAGCGAAGACACCGAGGCCAACGCCACCACCAGGUAGACGGUGAGCAAGUCGGCCUGGGCCUGGGUCGGGGCCGCCUCCGGGAGAGGCAGGUAGGGCUGGGAGAAGCCGUCCACCAGGAGCACGUGCAGCGUGGCGGUGGCCGAGCGCGGAGGCUCGCCAUUGUCCUUGACCAGCACCACCAGCCUGUGCUUGGCCGCGUCGCGCUCGCUCAGCAGCCUGGCGGUGCGCACCUCGCCAUUGUGCGCCCACACGCCGAACAGACCGAGCUCCGUGGCCUUGAGCAGCUGGUACGACAGCCAGGCGUUCUGGCCCGAGUCGCCGUCCACCGCCACCACCUUGGUCACCAGGUAGCCCGGCUCGGCCGCCCGGGGCACCAGCUCGGUGCAGGGCGCGGAGCCGUUCUGCAGCGGGUACAGCACGAAGGGCGAGUUGUCGUUGGCGUCCAGCACCACCACGCGGGGCGGCAGCAGCGAGUAGGUGACCUGGGCGUUGGUGCCUGAGUCUCUGUCUGUAGCGCUGACGCUGCGGAUGUGCAGGGCGGGGCUGUUGUUCUCGCGGACGAACAGGGUGUAGGAGGUUUGGGUGAAGGCGGGAGCGUUGUCAUUGACAUCGGCGAUCAGCACGGUCAUAUUGAGCUGUGUUAUCAGCAUAGGGGUCCCCAAGUCAGUGACAGUGAUAGUGAUGUUGUAUUCCGCUCUGCUUUCUCUGUCUAGUGGUCUCUCCGUUAGUAGGGUGUAAAAGUUUUCCGCGGAUUUCAGGAGGAAGGGUAGAUCCUCCUGAAUGGAGCAACUAAUUUUCCCAUUUUCUCCUGAAUCAAGAUCUGAAACACUGAAAAGUGCAACCACAGUUUCAGGCGCGUUCUCAGGUAUUGGGCUGGUAAAUGCAGACAUGGUAACUUCUGGGGCAUGGUCGUUCACAUCUAUCACUUGAAUCAGAACGGUGCAUUUUCCAGAAAAGGUUCCAGCAUCUCUUGCCUCAAUAUUGACUUCAUAGGACUGAAGUUUUUCGAAAUCGAGUUGUUUUUUUAGUUCAAUUUCUCCUGUCAAGGGAUUGAUCUUAAAGGUUUUGCCAAUCUCUUCUGAAGCUUGGAAAAGUGAAUAGGAAAUCUCUCCGUUGACUCCUGUGUCUACAUCCGUGGCAGAGACCUUCACAACCAGGAAGCCUACCGGACUGUCCUCAGAGAUCUGCACUCUAUAGAAAGGCUGCUCAAAUUCAGGGGCAUUAUCGUUGACAUCCAGGACUUCGAUGUAGACCUGAGCAGUGCCAGAUCUGGGCGGAGAGCCACCAUCCAGUGCUGUGAGUGUUAACCUGAGCUCAGCUUCUUCCUCUCGGUCCAGCGCUUUGUCCAGCACCAGCUCUGGGUAUUUCCUGCCAUCACUGCGUUUGCGGGUGAGGACCCGAAAAUAGGAGUUGGGGCUGAUUAUAUAGUUCUCAAUAUUGUUUUGGCCUACAUCUAAGUCUUCGGCAUUCUUCAGAGGAAACGUAGUCCCAGGAGGACUGCUCUCUGAUACUUUCACCAACAUUUGUUUGUCCAGAAAUACUGGAGAGUGGUCGUUUAUGUCUAUUACUUGCAGCUCAGCUUGAAAAAACUCGAAGGGACUCUCUAGCAACACUUGGAAACGUAGCACACAGGGCUCUGUGUGACCGCACAGAUCCUCACGGUCCAAUUUCUCAUUUAGCAACAAAUCCGCGGUCUCCUGAUUGAGCUGCAAAUGUAGUUUGUUCCCUCUGGAAACAACCCUAACCCCCCGCCUGGAGAAUUCCCUCUGCUCCAGACCCAGGUCCUUUGCUAAAUUGGUGACAAAGGAGCUGCCCUCAGUUUCCUCCACCACAGAAUAGCUUCUAGGUUCCGCCGCGCCCGCCAGAGAUAAGCCCAAAAGGAGAAAGGAAAAAAGGACUUGCCUUUGUCUGCAAAUGAGCUUCCCGCUGGCCUCCAUUGUUCUUGCUGGAUUCAGCUUCCUGGGAGGACGGUUCUGUGGGACUGUAAAGUCCCCAGUAUCUGAGGCUGUGGUUAUUCUACAGAUACCUCAGAAAUAUGCCAGUGAGUAGUCCUCUCCAGAGGACCCAGCCGUCCUCCCUUUGGCAUCCAAGCUCCCCGUGGACUUCCAGGUUCUGCUGCUUUUU
rnacentral:lncRNA from 1 species